CACCGACAUCAAUGAUUCGUUCUGCGAACCGGCGCCGACCGCCAGAUAGGCGUUCAUGCCCAGCUCUUUCAUCUGCUGCUCGCCGAUCACGCGGGUGGUGACGUUGGUGCUGAAGGCGUCCGCCAGUUGGCGCGCCUGCGAGGCCAGAUAGCCGGCGUUACAGAUGUUCGGCGGCAUAUUGCCGAGAUCUUUCGC
rnacentral:antisense_RNA from 16 species